AUUGAACGCUGGCGGCAUGCCUAACACAUGCAAGUCGAACGGUAACAGGAAACAGCUUGCUGUUUCGCUGACGAGUGGCGGACGGGUGUGUAAUGUCUGUGAAACUGCCUGAUGGAGGGGGAUAACUACUGGAAACGGUAGCUAAUACCGCAUAACGUCGCAAGACCAAAGAGGGGUACCUUCGGGCCUCUUGCCAUCGGAUGUGCCCAGAUGGGAUUAGCUAGUAGGUGGGGUAACGGCUCACCUAGGCGACGAUCCCUAGCUGGUCUGAGAGGAUGACCAGCCACACUGGAACUGAGACACGGUCCAGACUCCUACGGGAGGCAGCAGUGGGGAAUAUUGCACAAUGGGCGAAAGCCUGAUGCAGCCAUGCCGCGUGUAUGAAGAAGGCCUUCGGGUUGUAAAGUACUUUCAGCGGGGAGGAAGGAAGUAAAGAUAAUACAUUUGCUCAUUGACGUUACCCGCAGAAGAAGCCCCGGCUAACUCCGUG
rnacentral:rRNA from 1 species